CUAGCGACUUCAGAGUUUGAUCCUGGCUCAGGACAAACGCUGGCGGCGUGCUUAACACAUGCAAGUCGAGCGGACGGAGAACUUCGGUUCGAAGUUAGCGGCGGACGGGUGAGUAACGCGUGAACAAUCUGUCCCAGACAGGGGGAUAACAACCUGAAAAGGUUGCUAAUACCGCAUAAGACCACGGCCUCGCAUGAGGCUGGGGUAAAAGAUUUAUCGGUUUGGGGUGAGUUCGCGUCUGAUUAGCUAGUUGGUGAGGUAACGGCCCACCAAGGCGACGAUCAGUAGCCGAUCUGAGAGGAUGACCGGCCACAUUGGAACUGAGACACGGUCCAA
rnacentral:rRNA from 1 species